GAAAAUAAAACCAAACCCUAGGCUAUCCUCUCUCCGCCGUUCCCAGCCGAAACAACAGCCCCUUCAACUCUGAUAUUAACAGAGCAGACAAAGGCCGACGGCGGACUAGUAGAGGUAAAUCUUCUCUCCUCCUUCCUUUCGUUUUAUAUUUUAAUAAAAAGAUGAUAAAACCAAGAGCAAAAAAAAAAGAUAGAAUUUGAAAAAUCAUCUUGAAAUAACAAAGCUAGUUGAUUUGUUUUUUAUAUUUUCGUAUCCAGUAUCCGUUUUACAAAUUUGCUAUUUUCUCUUAUUAUUUUUCUAUUAUUCUGUUAUUUCUUUGCAAGGAUGCAGCCAAUCUGGAGGCAGAGGCUCACGUGGGGAAGGAGCGGCGCGCUGGAGGCUUGUAGGCUAGGGUUUCUGCAGGCUUAGUUUGUUUACAGGGCUAGGUUUAACUAGGUUUACUUUAUUGGGCUCGGGGUUAAUUUGAGUUUUAGAUUUAGUGUUUUGGGUUAGAGUCUAUAUUAGGUAGUGAGUUUGGGCUUUAAAUUUGGGUUUGUAAAAAUAAAUUGGGUUGUUUUAUUAUUUUAUAUUGGACCGGGCAAUAUUAGGUCAUUACAUAAAUAUUGAUAAAAUUAUAUCGUAUCGAUAUUAUCGAUAAAAUUAUUGAAGAUAUUACCUUUGUACUGUUUUGAUUUUUGUGCCCGAGAUGCAAUCUUUCUCCUUGUUUAGAGCCCAUGUUUGUAAGGCGUGC
rnacentral:lncRNA from 1 species